UCACAUUGUACUUUGUCUUGUAGAGGAGCUCUUUUGUAGCAGAAGUGCACACUUAGUUACCAAAUUCAUUCCCUUGGACAAAUGAAAUCAGCUUAUUAUAACUUCUUUUUUUUAGCUAUUUUUGGAAAAUGUUUUGUGACUGUAGAUACCUUGACUUUUAAAAACAUUUGAUCUAUUUCAGAACUUUUACAAAGGAAAUCGCAUAGAUAUGUAUAUUCGUUACAUUUUGAGACUCUUUGAUCUGCACUACAGCGCCAACAACUUUGUUGAAGCAGGUCUUACUUUAAAACUCUAUGCCAAACUGUUGACAUGGUCUACGGACCCACUUCCUCCUGAGAUGUCUUACCCUAGUGCCACAGAAGCUGAAAGAAAAGAAGAGCUUUAUACAAAGAUUAUAGCUUGCUUUGAUAGGGGCAAGGUUAGCACUAUGGUGUUCAAUAGAACAAUACAAUUAUUAAUCUAUGUGAUAAUAGUUGUAGGCUUAGCAUUUUGUCUUUAUUUUACCCAUACUGCUGUUGUAUUAUUACAUUACAGUUUUAAAUAAGUAUCUGAUGCAUGACAGAGGCAAAAUUUGUAAUAAUUCAAAAUAACAAUCUGGCUCAACAAUAAUGGUCUAUUCUAUUGUUAGUUUAAUUUCAAACUAUUUCGUAAAAAAAUGUGUCUGUUUUCUUGGUAAAUGUUUUCUUUUUCAAAUCAUAUUUAUAUUCAAAAUCUUAAUAAUAAUUUUGUCCAUUUGUAUAUACAUUUUUUUUAAAAAUUAAAAACUACUUGGGAAUUAAAAUGAUUGGAUCACUUUUUUUUUUUUUUUUUUUACAUCUUUACUUUAAUACAAAAAGAGGCCACAAAUAAAAGAAAAAUCUUUUAUCAUUAUGUGAUGAUGCCAUUAUGAUAGAAAUACCAUGAAUUGUACUCAGUUAAUAAAAUAGUUUAAUUUAUGCAUUUUCUUUCUCAAUUUUUAAUAAUUUUAAUUAGAUAUCUGUUCAUUUCUGGCUAGGCUUGGGAGUAUGGUUUACCUCUUUGUAAAGAGUUGACAGAAUAUUAUGAAACAAGCUUUCAAUAUAACAAGUUAGCUGAUAUUUUGGUGAGGUUUCUAUUUUUAUAUAGAUAUUAAGACUACUUUGUUCUGUUUUUUUUUUAAUAAUCAGAUAUGAGUGGUAAGUUUAUCUAUACAUGUAUUAGCAUAGGAGUUUUCACUUUUUUUAUGUUUAUCCAAGUAACCUUUUUAUUUAAAAAUCUUUUCCAGAAAAAACAAGCCACAUUUUACCAAAACAUUCUUGGAGGCAAUCAGCUACGGCAAGAUCCAAUCUAUUACAGAGUGGCUUACUAUGGCAACACUUUCCCUCUUUAUUUAAAAGUAGGUUGAAGAUCAGAGAAAAAACACUGAACAACUAUCUGUAACAAAAAAAAAACAAAAGAACUUAUAGUGCUAAGUAUCUGUUUCUAGCAAUUUUAAGUAAUGAUUAUUGUUUCAAGUAAAUCAUAUUGAAAUAGUUCAGUGCUUUCAAGGCAUCGC